AGGCAGAAGUGGUCCUUGCUGAGGAGGGCCAGGGAGUCCCCACUCAGGUGCCAGCACAGGGAGAGCACCUGGAAGUCACCUGGAGGAAGCCAGGAGAAAAGCAUGUCCACACCCUUCCCAUCGGCCGUCAGGGAGGGGAACUGGGCGCCCUGCCACCUCCAGCUCCCGCAGCCCCCAGGCCAGUGGACACGGACGAGGCUGUGUUUACCAGGCGUGGCUGUGAGGAAAGAGAAGAAUCUGAUGUCCUGAACUGCCUCUGUGAAAAGCUCACGCGGCAUUUAGGGGAGACAAGGGAUGCAGACAAGCUGCAGGGUUGGCGGCACUUCUGGGCUGUACUCAAGUGCCACUCUGGCUGCUCCAAAGACCACACCUACAGUCACAAGAGAGAGACGAGUCAGUGUGCUACGUAGGCUUGAAGACAACCGGCCAAGAGCUGUGUGGAGGC